AAAAGUUUGAGUUCCUCUCCCGCUCUACGAGACGAUGCUGUCAUGUUACCAUAGCAAUGGACAGAAGCAAAUGGGAGCAUAUACUCACCUGUUUUCAGGCUUCUGCACGUGGAUACCUGGUGAGAAACGAAAUCCGUCGUGCACGAGAAGACUUUGAGGACAUCGUGACAGACAUUGAUGGAGGCUUGACCCAUGUAGAGUGGAGGCAGGGGGUUAUUCCCAUCCCUCGCUUCACAGACCCUGAAAGCCCAUUUCUACGACUCAGCAGCUCUGCCAGCAAACCUCCAAACCCACGACUGGAUGUCAGUGCCAGCCACCACAGUCCAUCAUCAUCAUCCUCAGCACCCUUAUCAGAGAACAGAGGAGAUCAUCCUGUCCUGUUGGAGAGGACAGAAGCAGAGAGAGAUGAUUCACAAACCAAAGGGCAGGCCUCUCUUUCUCAGUACUGUUUCCACAGCAGCAGUGUUAGAGGGGAUGGAGAGGGACAGAGAGAAAGCACAAUGGAGGAGAAAGAUGGAGACUCUACUACCGUCUGGAGCAGUUUGGAGCUGGACGUGAGCUAUGGUCACUCUCACAAAGGUCCUCAGCAGUACGGCUUGGCUCAGGAGGUGCCCUGUACCCCAGAGGCCUUGCGUCUCCAUAGAAACACCCUGACCAUGGAGCUGGUUUGGCUCCAGCAGGCCAUUGAAAGCAGGAAGAAGGUGAGGCAGAGGAAGGGAGAGAUGUAGUGUUUCCCUGCAUUUAUUUAGCUUUGGCAGUCUCCCACUGGAAGAAAAUUGCCUCUGCUGCAAGACUGAAUUUAUUGAGUGACCUCAAGAAUAAGCCAGUACAGUGAGUUCACGCUGCAGCAGUUCUGGAAAGAAAUACCUACAUUUACUUGUCACUGAAGGACAGGCUGAGUGUUUCCCGACAGCAGACGUAAUCUGAACUGGACCAGACAACUGAAGUCACUCAAGUAGCG